rnacentral:rRNA from 1 species
AGCGUACACGGUGGAUGCCCUGGCAGUCAGAGGCGAUGAAGGACGUGCUAAUCUGCGAUAAGCGUCGGUAAGGUGAUAUGAACCGUUAUAACCGGCGAUUUCCGAAUGGGGAAACCCAGUGUGAUUCGUCACACUAUCAUUAACUGAAUCCAUAGGUUAAUGAGGCGAACCGGGGGAACUGAAACAUCUAAGUACCCCGAGGAAAAGAAAUCAACCGAGAUUCCCCCAGUAGCGGCGAGCGAACGGGGAGCAGCCCAGAGCCUGAAUCAGUGUGUGUGUUAGUGGAAGCGUCUGGAAAGGCGUGCGAUACAGGGUGACAGCCCCGUACACAAAAAUGCACAUACUGUGAGCUCGAUGAGUAGGGCGGGACACGUGGUAUCCUGUCUGAAUAUGGGGGGACCAUCCUCCAAGGCUAAAUACUCCUGACUGACCGAUAGUGAACCAGUACCGUGAGGGAAAGGCGAAAAGAACCCCGGCGAGGGGAGUGAAAAAGAACCUGAAACCGUGUACGUACAAGCAGUGGGAGCACGCUUAGGCGUGUGACUGCGUACCUUUUGUAUAAUGGGUCAGCGACUUAUAUUCUGUAGCAAGGUUAACCGAAUAGGGGAGCCGAAGGGAAACCGAGUCUUAACUGGGCGUUAAGUUGCAGGGUAUAGACCCGAAACCCGGUGAUCUAGCCAUGGGCAGGUUGAAGGUUGGGUAACACUAACUGGAGGACCGAACCGACUAAUGUUGAAAAAUUAGCGGAUGACUUGUGGCUGGGGGUGAAAGGCCAAUCAAACCGGGAGAUAGCUGGUUCUCCCCGAAAGCUAUUUAGGUAGCGCCUCGUGAAUUCAUCUCCGGGGGUAGAGCACUGUUUCGGCAAGGGGGUCAUCCCGACUUACCAACCCGAUGCAAACUGCGAAUACCGGAGAAUGUUAUCACGGGAGACACACGGCGGGUGCUAACGUCCGUCGUGAAGAGGGAAACAACCCAGACCGCCAGCUAAGGUCCCAAAGUCAUGGUUAAGUGGGAAACGAUGUGGGAAGGCCCAGACAGCCAGGAUGUUGGCUUAGAAGCAGCCAUCAUUUAAAGAAAGCGUAAUAGCUCACUGGUCGAGUCGGCCUGCGCGGAAGAUGUAACGGGGCUAAACCAUGCACCGAAGCUGCGGCAGCGACGCUUAUGCGUUGUUGGGUAGGGGAGCGUUCUGUAAGCCUGUGAAGGUGUGCUGUGAGGUAUGCUGGAGGUAUCAGAAGUGCGAAUGCUGACAUAAGUAACGAUAAAGCGGGUGAAAAGCCCGCUCGCCGGAAGACCAAGGGUUCCUGUCCAACGUUAAUCGGGGCAGGGUGAGUCGACCCCUAAGGCGAGGCCGAAAGGCGUAGUCGAUGGGAAACAGGUUAAUAUUCCUGUACUUGGUGUUACUGCGAAGGGGGGACGGAGAAGGCUAUGUUGGCCGGGCGACGGUUGUCCCGGUUUAAGCGUGUAGGCUGGUUUUCCAGGCAAAUCCGGAAAAUCAAGGCCGAGGCGUGAUGACGAGGCACUACGGUGCUGAAGCAACAAAUGCCCUGCUUCCAGGAAAAGCCUCUAAGCAUCAGGUAACAUCAAAUCGUACCCCAAACCAACACAGGUGGUCAGGUAGAGAAUACCAAGGCGCUUGAGAGAACUCGGGUGAAGGAACUAGGCAAAAUGGUGCCGUAACUUCGGGAGAAGGCACGCUGAUACGUAGGUGAAGCGACUUGCUCGUGGAGCUGAAAUCAGUCGAAGAUACCAGCUGGCUGCAACUGUUUAUUAAAAACACAGCACUGUGCAAACACGAAAGUGGACGUAUACGGUGUGACGCCUGCCCGGUGCCGGAAGGUUAAUUGAUGGGGUUAGCGCAAGCGAAGCUCUUGAUCGAAGCCCCGGUAAACGGCGGCCGUAACUAUAACGGUCCUAAGGUAGCGAAAUUCCUUGUCGGGUAAGUUCCGACCUGCACGAAUGGCGUAAUGAUGGCCAGGCUGUCUCCACCCGAGACUCAGUGAAAUUGAACUCGCUGUGAAGAUGCAGUGUACCCGCGGCAAGACGGAAAGACCCCGUGAACCUUUACUAUAGCUUGACACUGAACAUUGAGCCUUGAUGUGUAGGAUAGGUGGGAGGCUUUGAAGUGUGGACGCCAGUCUGCAUGGAGCCGACCUUGAAAUACCACCCUUUAAUGUUUGAUGUUCUAACGUGGACCCGUAAUCCGGGUUGCGGACAGUGUCUGGUGGGUAGUUUGACUGGGGCGGUCUCCUCCUAAAGAGUAACGGAGGAGCACGAAGGUUGGCUAAUCCUGGUCGGACAUCAGGAGGUUAGUGCAAUGGCAUAAGCCAGCUUGACUGCGAGCGUGACGGCGCGAGCAGGUGCGAAAGCAGGUCAUAGUGAUCCGGUGGUUCUGAAUGGAAGGGCCAUCGCUCAACGGAUAAAAGGUACUCCGGGGAUAACAGGCUGAUACCGCCCAAGAGUUCAUAUCGACGGCGGUGUUUGGCACCUCGAUGUCGGCUCAUCACAUCCUGGGGCUGAAGUAGGUCCCAAGGGUAUGGCUGUUCGCCAUUUAAAGUGGUACGCGAGCUGGGUUUAGAACGUCGUGAGACAGUUCGGUCCCUAUCUGCCGUGGGCGCUGGAGAACUGAGGGGGGCUGCUCCUAGUACGAGAGGACCGGAGUGGACGCAUCACUGGUGUUCGGGUUGUCAUGCCAAUGGCACUGCCCGGUAGCUAAAUGCGGAAGAGAUAAGUGCUGAAAGCAUCUAAGCACGAAACUUGCCCCGAGAUGAGUUCU